AUACGGAAGGUCCGGGCGUUAUCCGGAUUUAUUGGGUUUAAAGGGAGCGCAGGCGGAGAUGCAAGCGUGACGUCAAAUUUCGGGGCUCAACCCCGUCUCGCGUCGCGAACUGCGUCCCUUGGUUGCGGGAAGGGGAGGCGGAACUCGUGGUGUAGCGGUGAAAUGCAUAGAUAUCACGAAGAACUCCGAUCGCGAAGGCAGCCUUCCCGCCCGUCGACGACGCUCAUGCUCGAAGGUGCGGGUAUCAAACAGGAUUAGAUACCCUGGUAGUCCGCCCAGUAAACGAUGGACACCCGCGGUUUGGCCUGUAUGGCUGAGCCGCCUAGCGAAAGCGUUAAGUGUCCCACCUGGGGAGUACGACGGCAACGGUGCAACUCAAAUGAAUUGACGGGG
rnacentral:rRNA from 1 species